AUUCAGCUGACGAGUCCCAAAUUGGACGAAACGCGCGUCAAACUGGAU
rnacentral:hammerhead_ribozyme from 1 species